AGAUGUUGCUGGGUCCCCAACAGUUCUGAUUAUUGUGGUGUCUUUAUUCUCACUUGUUUUCAUCACUGCAGCUGUGAUGCUUAUAAGAAGGAAAGCAAGGAAAACUCAAGGAAAGCCAAUGGAGAAGAGAAAAGAAGCAGAGGCUUCUCUUUACUGCACUAUUCAAACAACGACCGACGCUGUCUACUCAACCAUCAAAAACCCUCAAGAAGCCAUGGAUGGAUUGCCGCAAGUGUAAUAUGCUUCAAGUGUCUGCAAACACAAAGCAGCAGAUUGAUUUAACCAUCUACAGCGCAGUGAUGAACAGUUAAUCUCAUAUUUUCAGCAGUGAAGAUAGAAAUUGUGUGUGUUUGAGUGUGUUUAAGUGUUCUGGUUUUGCCUACAUUGUUUUGACCAAAUUUCCCCUUCAAAAAUAGUAAAACCUGAAAUCUUAGUUUGUGAAAUUUUUGGGUGAGGGUGUAGGUUGGGGAAUAAAAUAGCUUUAGCUCA